CUCUUAGUGUAUAUAAUCUAACUAUAGAAGGUUAUUUACUAUCUGCAAAUUUGCCUUUUCCAUUGCUGAUCAUGUCCUCUCUGUGCACUUACAUCCUUAUGUUAAGAGUGUAGUGAUCUAAUGAUUAUUCAGAAGGGAUGUGCAUGUUCCUAGAUGCAUAGCUUUUCUUAUGUACUCCCUUUGUUCCUAAAUAUUUAUCUUUUUAGAUAUUUCAAAUGGACUACCACAUACGGAUGUAUAUAGUCAUAUUUUAGAGUGAAGAUUCACUCAUUUUGCUCCGUAUAUAGUCACUUGUUGAAAUCUCUAGAAAGACAAAUAUUUAGGAACGGAGGGAGUAGAUUUUCAUUACACUGAGAUUUUUUUUAAGGGAUAACAAUGGUAUUUAAGAUAGUUUUUUUGUAGUUAUUUUGUAGAAUUCUCAAACUGAAAUCCAAACAAAGCAUACCUUCAAAGGCCAUCAUAAUGGCACUUAAAAUAAAUGCUAAUCUGCAUUCAUGCGGCAAUCUGGUGCCCAUUCUUCUGGUGAUUUGGUCAAAGCUACAACCAAGCAAAGAUAUUUUACAUGCUAUAAGAACUAAGUUAUGGAUUUUUGUGUUCCCAGGUCUAUAAUAUGCGUGCUCUCCUGGUUCCCUGCAAGCUCUUUUGGCCAUGACCUCAAGUUCUGCAGCUAGGCCGUGAAUGUGUUGGUCCUUCUCACCGUCCACUGAUGAUGGUGCCCAAGAGAAGUCAGGGAAGGAGAAAAGGAUGUUGCUAUCGCGUGGUCGUCGGAACAACUUGCCAUGGACACAGCCAUGCACUGGAUGCCAUCGACAGCUAGUCGUGGAUGAGCACCUCGCCGCCUCUGCAAAAUAUGGAUGCACGGGAUUCUGCUACUAACAUUGGGGAGUGUGUACUGUUGCGGUGCUGUGACAUAUACACUCUAUGGAAGAAACCCCUGUUUGAUUUACAGGGGAUGCUGAUUUGGAAUCUACUUUUGACAGAUCAAUCUGGUUUGUUGGCUGCUGGGUGGCUUCAUGUGACGCCGCAGUGCACUAGGGAGAGGGUUCAUGAUUGGCAAUUGGUCGUGGGCAAUGGAACUAAAAUGUCUACUGAAUGUUCAUGGAUAUCUUAAAAGGAGAACAAUUCAUACUUUAGAUGUACAUCAUAUUUGAUGCAUCAGUCUAAUCUGUAGUUCAAAUUACA